rnacentral:rRNA from 1 species
UACGUAGGGGGCUAGCGUUGUCCGGAAUCAUUGGGCGUAAAGCGCGCGCAGGCGGUUAAUUAAGUUGGGUGUUUAAGCCCGGGGCUCAACCCCGGUUCGCAUCCAAAACUGGUUGACUUGAGUGUAGGAGAGGAAAGUGGAAUUCCACGUGUAGCGGUGAAAUGCGUAGAGAUGUGGAGGAACACCAGUGGCGAAGGCGACUUUCUGGCCUAUAACUGACGCUGAGGCGCGAAAGCGUGGGGAGCAAACAGG